AAAAAGAGCUGGGUAGCAGGAGCUUACUAUCACUGCUACACACUUCACAACCCUCUAAGUGUCAAUAAAGUUUGAUUAAAUGAGACUUUCUUUAUAAUUUAACGAUAGAAAUACGAUCUUAACACGAACAUGUCGCUCAGUGUUACCCACCUGCCUGGAGGAGUUCUCAGUCCGAUGAAGCGUUGUAGAGCCUGACAACCAAUCACGGAGCCCGGAUCAUGUUUCAGCGGGGGGGGACACCUGUGUGAUGCACAUGCCCUUAUUUGGACUUGACUCUGCAGUGCAGGAUCCGGAGCAGGCCUUGACGUCAGAAUCAGGAACAUCAGGGUCUUCAUCUUUCCUCUGCGUCUCACUCUGAAGCUGAGCCACGACCGAGAGUUCACGCCGGAGCUGUUGAACCUGAAGGACUCUAUGGAGGACACAAGCACGCACACAGAGAAGAAGAUGAAGCACGAAACAUGAUUCAUUGGAAAAUUGUAUUUUUCCAGUCAGCCACAUCUGCGAAACCCUUUUUGAUAUAGGCUAUACGUCAUAUAUCCAGGCCAGAUAACUUUCACUGCAUCGUAGUCAAACUGUUCUGUCACCUUUCAGGCAACCCCACAGCUGUAGCACCAUCAUGAGUCAUGACCCCAACUCUGAAUCAAAGCUAACAUGAAACCGACGUAACUCAUAUUCACAAAAGGCCAUUAGGUUUAAGGUCAAAGCAGGUUUCCGUCCUGCUCAGGGCUCACUAGGCCGACAGAGUGCUGAGAGAGCGCACCGAUACUUCAGGGAUGAAUUCUUCAGCUGAUGAGAUCCACCGUGUCACCGGAGGACUCAUCAUUGCAGGAUGGAAUUCCUAGAUAAUCCCCCCCCCCCCCCAGCCCUUUUGAGCAUCAGACUACGAGAGCAGCUCCAGAACCACAGUUGGUAGAGACCUGAAGUAUACAUUUCACCACAAGGCAAUUGGACCGCAAGGCAACCAAAGCCAGGUUUAUGUCUACCCUCAGUGCGACUGCAUAUAAAUACACGUUAUCUAACUGGCUCCUAGGUAUUCUCACCUUUUCUUCGUGUUUGCAGCAAAUGGAGCAGAGUGAAUGCAACAUUUUAAAUGUUAUAGCAUACAUCAUUUAAAAACGUAUAUUCAUAUUUAAGAUCAAAUUUAUCCGUGUGAAUAGGCCUACUAUCAUUGCAGUCAUUUAUAUAAUGUCUUUUACAGGUGUAAAUCUGAAAGUUUGAUUGUAGAAUGUGUGAUGUAAAGAAUGUGCAGCAAAUAUAAUAUUACAAAAAUUAAUUUUAGAUGCAAGAUUUGAGAAACUCCAAGUAGGGGUUUGAGCAAUCAGGAUUCAGGGUCAUUGGGAUUGAAGAAUAUGGAAGUAAUCAGCAAAGUAUUUACUUUCUUCGCCAUUUUGACUUAUAGGUAUUGAGAAAGAUUAAAAAACUAAAGAUUUAAACGACUUUACUUUAUACAUUUGGCAACUUACUGAACCAAACGAGCUCACUUAUAUUCUUGCUGCAAACAUGAGAGACCAGGUCCAACUGUUGAGUCAAGAUACAGAACCAGCACAGAUUAAAACUGUUUAGACAGUUUAAAAAGUAAAACAAUCUACAUUGUGCUUUAUUAUAUAAUUUGAUUAUUGCAAUCUAUUUGUACCUGCAAAAUCAUCACAUUUUAUCUUUAUGUCACAGCCCAUCCUGUUGUUGGAAAAUCCAUUUAUAGCACUGUACCAUAUUUCAUAAGUUUGUUAAAUGAAAAAUGAAAUAAUACAUCAUAAUACAUGAAUGAUAAAUACAACAACUAAACUGUAAAAUAAAUGUAGAGUGAAGUAAAAAGUACAAAUAUUUAGGUGUAGUAUAAA